rnacentral:rRNA from 1 species
AGGGGAGCGUUCUGUAAGCCUGUGAAGGUGUGCUGUGAGGCAUGCUGGAGGUAUCAGAAGUGCGAAUGCUGACAUAAGUAACGAUAAAGCGGGUGAAAAGCCCGCUCGCCGGAAGACCAAGGGUUCCUGUCCAACGUUAAUCGGGGCAGGGUGAGUCGACCCCUAAGGCGAGGCCGAAAGGCGUAGUCGAUGGGAAACGGGUUAAUAUUCCCGUACUUGGUGUUACUGCGAAGGGGGGACGGAGAAGGCUAUGUUGGCCGGGCGACGGUUGUCCCGGUUUAAGCGUGUAGGUGUGUGUUCCAGGUAAAUCCGGUUCACUUUAACACUGAGGCGUGAUGACGAGGCACUACGGUGCUGAAGCAACAAAUGCCCUGCUUCCAGGAAAAGCCUCUAAGCAUCAGGUAACAUCAAAUCGUACCCCAAACCGACACAGGUGGUCAGGUAGAGAAUACCAAGGCGCUUGAGAGAACUCGGGUGAAGGAACUAGGCAAAAUGGUGCCGUAACUUCGGGAGAAGGCACGCUGACACGUAGGUGAAGUGAUUUACUCACGGAGCUGAAGUCAGUCGAAGAUACCAGCUGGCUGCAACUGUUUAUUAAAAACACAGCACUGUGCAAACACGAAAGUGGACGUAUACGGUGUGACGCCUGCCCGGUGCCGGAAGGUUAAUUGAUGGGGUCAGCGCAAGCGAAGCUCCUGAUCGAAGCCCCGGUAAACGGCGGCCGUAACUAUAACGGUCCUAAGGUAGCGAAAUUCCUUGUCGGGUAAGUUCCGACCUGCACGAAUGGCGUAAUGAUGGCCAGGCUGUCUCCACCCGAGACUCAGUGAAAUUGAACUCGCUGUGAAGAUGCAGUGUACCCGCGGCAAGACGGAAAGACCCCGUGAACCUUUACUAUAGCUUGACACUGAACAUUGAGCCUUGAUGUGUAGGAUAGGUGGGAGGCUUUGAAGCGUGGACGCCAGUCUGCGUGGAGCCGACCUUGAAAUACCACCCUUUAAUGUUUGAUGUUCUAACGUGGAUCCGUGAUCCGGGUUGCGGACAGUGUCUGGUGGGUAGUUUGACUGGGGCGGUCUCCUCCUAAAGAGUAACGGAGGAGCACGAAGGUUGGCUAAUCCUGGUCGGACAUCAGGAGGUUAGUGCAAUGGCAUAAGCCAGCUUGACUGCGAGCGUGACGGCGCGAGCAGGUGCGAAAGCAGGUCAUAGUGAUCCGGUGGUUCUGAAUGGAAGGGCCAUCGCUCAACGGAUAAAAGGUACUCCGGGGAUAACAGGCUGAUACCGCCCAAGAGUUCAUAUCGACGGCGGUGUUUGGCACCUCGAUGUCGGCUCAUCACAUCCUGGGGCUGAAGUAGGUCCCAAGGGUAUGGCUGUUCGCCAUUUAAAGUGGUACGCGAGCUGGGUUUAGAACGUCGUGAGACAGUUCGGUCCCUAUCUGCCGUGGGCGCUGGAGAACUGAGGGGGGCUGCUCCUAGUACGAGAGGACCGGAGUGGACGCAUCACUGGUGUUCGGGUUGUCAUGCCAAUGGCACUGCCCGGUAGCUAAAUGCGGAAGAGAUAAGUGCUGAAAGCAUCUAAGCACGAAACUUGCCCCGAGAUGAGUUCUCCCUGAGACUACGAGUCUCCUGAAGGAACGUUGAAGACGACGACGUUGAUAGGCCGGGUGUGUAAGCGCAGCGAUGCGUUGAGCUAACCGGUACUAAUGAACCGUGAGGC